rnacentral:tRNA from 1 species
CCCUGGUGGUCCAGUGGCUAAGACUCUGCACUCCCAAUGCGGGGGGCCUGGGUUUGAACCCUGUUCAGGGA